AAAGAAGAUUACAUCGGAUAGAUCUCCAUGAAGAUCAUGGAGAACAUUGUAUUGAAGAUCCAAGAGAGAGAAGAAGCCAUCUAGCUACUAACUACGAACCCGUAGGUCUGAAGUGAACUACUCACGAGUCAUUGGAGGGGCGAUGAUGAUGAUGAAGAAGCCCUCCACCUCCAAAUUCCCCUCUGGUAGGGCGCCGGGAAGGGUCUCUAGAUGAGAUCUCGCGGAAACGGAAGCUUGCGGCGGCGAAAAAGUACUUUCGAGGCUCACCUGAUUUUUUGCGGAAUAUUUGGGAAUAUAUAGGCGCAAGACCUAGGUCAGGAGGCGACCAGGGAGGCCACAAGCCUGCCCACCGCCGCCUCCCCCUGGUGGUGGAGUGGGGGCUUGUGGGCUCCCAGGAGCCCACCUGGCCUGGCCCAAAGGCUCCCUGGACUUCUUCCGUUCGGGAAAAAAUCAUUUCGGGGUUUUUCUUCCGUUUGGAUUCUGUUCCAAAAUCAGAUCUGAAAAGAGUCAAAAACAAAGAAAAACAGGAACUGGCACUUGGCACUGAAUCAAUAAGUUAGUCCCCAAAAAAGAUAUAAAAAUGUACAUAAAACAUACAAAGAAGACAAGAUAACAACGUGAAACCAUCAAAAAUUGUAGAUACGUUUGAGACGUAUCACAUAGUUGUUUAUAGUAUUUUGGGAGAGAGAGACAUCACUAGUGAACAUCAUGUGACUCUGGUCUAUAUCACCAUCAUUGUUUACACUUCCAUCAUUUACCGAUUUCAUUUACUUUUCCGUUGCAAUCACUAUUACCUUCCCGCUUGUGUUUUGAUCCUUUGCAAACUACAAGGACGGAGAGAUUGACAACCUCUCUGUACUCGUCGAGAGCAAAGUUAUUUUUGUGUGUGCAGGUCCACGUCUUCUACUAGCGCCAGGGUGGAAGACACCUGCUUGUUGAGCUUAGGAGUUCUACUGGUUUGAUAAACCUUACAGUCUCUGUGUGAGGGAAAUUUGCCGCUCACUACAUCUCCACCUUACACUUGGGGUAUCCAACGAGGGGCGAGAAGUAUAUACAUCAACUCGUCAUCAAGCGAAUUUCUGGCGCCGUUGCCGGGGACUCCACUCUUCAAGAUAGGGGAGUUGCACACUAUCUUUUACCUUUGCGUUUUUAAGUCUUGUUAGUUUGCUUUUUAGUUUUUGCUUUAGAGUCCUAUACCAAAAACCACAAAAAAAUUAGUUGCUUUGCUCUUGCUUGUUGCCGCUGCUAUGGGUUCCACUGGGAACACCAAGUUGUGUGACUUCACUAGUCACAACAACAAUGACUUUAUCUGCACUCCUAUUGGUGCUCUUGCCACUAACGCCACGUCCUAUGAGAUUAAACCUGCUUUACUGAACCUUGUUAUGAAAGAUCAAUUCUCCGGUGCUAGAGAUGAUGCUGCCUUGCACUUGAACAAUUUUGUUGAGCUCGGUGAUAUGCAAAAAUAUAAAGAAGUAUAUGGUGAUAUUGUUAAACUUAAUCUUUUCCCUUUAUCCUUGAGAGGAGGAGCCAAAGUGUGGCGUCAAUCUUUGCCUAGGAAUAGCACAGAUUCUUGGGAUAAGUGCAAAGAUGACUUUAUUCGGAAGUAUUACCCGCCUGCUAAGAUUAUCCAGCUGAGGAAUAACAUUAUGAAUUUUAGGCAACUAGAUAAUGAACAUGUUGCUCAAGCUUGGGAACGUAUGAAAUCUCUUGUUAAGAAUUUCCCUACUCAUGGUUUGACUACUUGGAUGGUUAUCCAAACUUUCUAUGCAGGAUUGAACUUUACCUCGCGGAAUCUGUUAGACUCGGCCGCGGGAGGAACCUUUAUGUCAACUACACUUGGUGUUGCCACAAAGCUAUUGGAUGAGAUGAUGACAAAUUAUUCUCAAUGGCACACCAAGAGAGCUCCAACAGGUAGGAAGGUAAACUCUGUUGAGGAGAUCUCCUCCUUUAAUGAUAAGGUUGACAUGAUCAUGACUCUACUUACUAAUCAAGCUCCUAUCACUACUGGAAAAAUAGAAUUUGCCGACAGCUUUCAUCUUUGCCGUCAGCAAUUUCACGGGGCUGAUGGCAAAGAGACUUUGCCCUCAGCCAAAAUAAGUACUGACGGCAUAUGAGAGGCUGACGGCAUAGAUAAUCUAUGCUGUCCGCUUUGUCUAAGCCGUCAGCCAGCUGACGGCAAAGGCGAAAAACACUAACGGCAUAGGGAGACUGACGGCACAGGGAGCUCCCCGGUCCCACGUCCGACCACGGCUUAAUAGGGCACCGCUUUGCCGACAGCCAGCUGACGGCAAAGCCUAACGGUUGUCUUUGCCGACAGCUAGCUGCGGCAUAGCUCGAUUAUUUCCCCCGUGCACACGACCUAACUGCAUGCCCUAACGGCCGGUUCUCUCUCCCUGCUCUCCCUACUCUCCCUGCUCUCCCGACCCACCGCCGUCGUCCUGCACCAUCCCCACCCCGCGCCGCCCCACCGCGCCGCCCCGCGUGUUAGUAGUAGAUUUUGAGUUAAAUUUAGUUAGAAAUUACUUAAUGGUAGAUUUUUAGUGGUAGUUUUUUUGUUAAAUUUAGUUAGCAAUUAUUUAGUUAGCAAUUAGAAGGAGAUACUUAGCGUGUUUGGUAGUUUAUGGGAAAGGGACUGGGAAUUUGUGAGAGGGAGUUGGCCGAGGGAUUUACAUGGGUAGUGGACUAUUUAGUCCCAAUCCAGCGUUUGGUAUUGGUUGGGAAUUAUCUGUGGGAAUAAUUCUUAUGAACAAAGAAAGGAAGGGUAGGUUACGAGAGAUGGGCUCCUAUUUGACGUAGAUUAGGAAGUAGUUAGCGUUGGCCGGUUUGUUUAGAGGAGAAAUUAUGCUGCCGCAUGCAUUUAGCUAGUUUGUUCGUUGUUUUUUCUUUCUUUUGCUUCUGGAGGUGGGCCACAAAAUCAGUAACAAUAUGUUUUCAGACGUCAACUCCCAUUCCUUCGCUGAAUUACCAGGGCUCCCCAGGGUAGAGAUCGAUGGGAGUUGGCCCUAGUAAUUCCCCUUCCCUGGUUAAAUCCCAAGUCCCUGAACCAAUCAACAGAUUUUUAGUCUCGUUAAUCUUAAACUCCCAUUCCCUACCUCCAACCCCCCAACCAAACACGAUGUAAGAGAAGAAGAAGAAGAAGAAAAGGAAAAAGAGAAAGAAGAAGGGGGAGAAUUAUUUAGUUAGCAAUUAUUUAAUUACCGCGAGUAGAAAAAGAGAAAGAAGAAGAAGAAAAGGAAAAACAGAAAGUAGAAGGGGAGAAAAGUUAAAUUUAGUUAGCAAUUAUUUAAUUACCGCGAGUGCGUAUUUGUGUUGACUGAGUGCAUUUAAAUGUGCAGUAGCUUCUCCGCGAGGGAUUGGUUUUCGACGACCUCCCCUGCAUUCGAAAGUGAGCACAUUUGUUAACUCCUCCUCCACCCCCUUUAUUUUGCUCUCUUCUGGCCUUCGUGCUAAUGACACUAUCUAGCUAGGUAUUUUUAGUAUUAAAAUGCAAAGGUGCUGCGUAACCAAUAUGCGUCUCCCGUUCGAAAGGGUUCCUGUCAUAAAUAUGCAUGCAUUUGCAUAUUUAUAACGGUGAUUCUUUCGAAUUUUCCAAUGCUAUCCAUGGACAGCCCGGGUAUGUGUAGAUUGGGUCGUUUCCCACGCUUUGCUCCGGAUCCCAUGCAGAGUUUUGAAAGCUCUUCCUUGUUGUUCUCCGAGUACACAUCCUCUCGGUUAGUUGCCGAGACGUGUAUCAGGAGAACAAUGGGGAGGUGCUGCCGAAAUUUUGCGUUGGGUCGGGAGCAGAGCAUGGGGAAAUGACCCAAUCUACACAUACUCGGGUGGGAUUAGGACCCAUCUUUACCUAGUAGCUGGUAGGUGUGCAUGCCGUGCAUCCCAAUGUAUUAACCAUGAUUAAAAAAUGGCCAUAAUUAAUUUAACAUACUUGAUGAAUUGAUAAUUUAUAUUGUUUUAUAUGUGGAUACUAUGUAGCUAGCUUGCCAGAAUGACUGAUCGUGAAUGGAUGUACACCGGUCACCAUAGUCAGAGAGAUAUGACCGAUGAAUGGUUGAGCAAAACCUAUGAAUUCGUGGAAACGGCGUUUUCUAAAGGCCAGCAAAAAACAUGGUGCCCCUGCACUAAGUGCAAGAAUUAUUCGCGAUAGACAAAGGAUGUAAUGGGUAAACAUCUGCAGAUGUGUGGUUUUACUCCCGGCUAUACCUUUUGGACAUUUCAUGGUGAGUCGGCCCAACGUAAAAGAGACGAGGUGUUCGGUCGACGCACCGAUGAUUAUGGUAUAGGGAUUGAAGACAUGGUGAAUGACUUUGAUGAUGCUCGGAACAAGGACGAAGAGAUGGAGGAAUCCGCGAAAGCCUUCUAUGCCAUGUUGGAGUCUUCAAAACGUCCUCUUCAUGAGCACACUAAGAUUUCUCAGCUAGAUGCCAUCGCACAAGUAAUGGCUCUGAAAGCCCAGUUCAACAUUGGAAGAGACCUGUUUAACUCAGUGAUGACCCUAUUUGGGCGCUUUCUACGAGAAGGUCAUAUUAUGCCUUCAAACCUAUAUGAGUCAGACAAAAUCCUUAGUGCACUCAAGAUGUCGUAUGAGCAGAUACAUGCUUGUGAGAAGGGAUGUGCCUUAUUUAGGAAAGAGUAUGCGGACGAAACAUAUUGUCCAAUUUGCAAGUCCUCCAGCUAUGUUGAGGUAGAAAACGGUGAAGGUGAGAAGAAGCAGAGCAAAAUCCCCGUGAGUGUCCUACGGUAUCUGCCGAUCCUACCAAGACUUCAACGACUUUACAUGCUUGAAGAAACAGCAAAACAGAUGACAUGGCACAAACAUGGAAUUAGGAAAGAAUUAGAUGAACACGGAGUUCCGAUGUUGGUACACCCUUCAGAUGGUGACGCAUGGAAGCCAUUCGAUAGUAUACAUAAGGAAAAAGCUAAAGAACCAAGGAAUUGUCGAAUCGGCAUCAGCCUCGAUGGGUUCAAUCCUUUUGGUAUGACGGCUACCCAAUAUAGUUGCUGGCCUGUAUUUGUGAUUCCCCUCAAUCUUCCACCAUCAUCCAUUAUGCAAAGAAAGCACAUAUUUCUGACGUUGAUAGUUCCAGGGCCAAACUACCCGGGGAAGAAUAUGAGUGCGUACAUCCAACCGCUGAUGGAUAACUUGAAAGAAGCUUGGGUGAAUGGGGUCAACACAUACGACGCAGCUAAGUAAGAGAACUUUGAAAUGUAUGUUUGGUACCAAUACUCGUUGCAUGAUCUGCCAGCAUUUGCGCUUUUCGUUGCCUGGUGUGUGCAUGGAAGGUUCCCAUGCCCACAAUGCAAGGCAGCUCUUAAGUUUCACUGGUUGCCGGCGGGUGGGAAGUAUUCCUGCUUUGACUUGCAUAGACAGUUCUUGCCUAUGGACCAUCCAUUCAGAAAAGACAAGAAGAAUUUCAUGAAAGGUAAAGUUGUCAAACACUCAGCACCACCUGCGUUGACGGGGGCACAAAUUAAUGAAACGUUAAAAUCUAUGGAGCCUGAUCCAAACCGUCCAGGGUAUUUCUUGGGUUAUAAUGAGGAACACGCCUGGACCCACAAGCCAUGCAUCUGGGAUCUCCCCUACUUCGAAGACCUCUUACUUCCACAGAACAUUGACAUGAUGCACACUGAAAAGAAUAUCGCCGAGGCCCUUCUUGGCACAUUUUUCGGCACUGAUAAGGGCAAAGAUAAUACAAAGGCUAGAGUUGACCAGGAGACUCUCUGUGAUAGGCCAUCACUAAACAUGCGAGAACCGAAAGGAAGAAAAAAUUGGUCCAAACCACCCGCCUGGUACAAUCUUGAGAAGGGAGCAAUAAGAGAAAUCCUCUUGUUGGUGCAAAAAAAGUUGUUGUUCCCCGAUGGGUAUGUUGCGAAUCUAGCGAGGGGAGCGAGCAUUGAAAAAAUGAAAAUUUUUGGGGACAAGAGUCAUGAUUGGCACAUAUGACUUGAGCGGAUAAUGCCGGUGAUGUUGCAUGGCUAUAUCCCCGAGGCUGAAUGGCUAGUAUUGGCCGAGUUGAGCUAUUUCUUCCGUGCUCUUUGUGCUAAAGAGUUGUCGCGUGCCUUGAUAGAUGAUAUGGAAGAGUUGGCGCCUGAGUUGCUCUGCAAGUUAGAGAAGAUUUUUCCACCGGGCUUCUUUGAUCCGAUGCAACACAUGAUUUUGCAUCUCCCAACCGAGGCAAGAUUGGGUGGCCCUGUGCAAAAUCGUUGGUGCUACGCAACUGAAAGAAUGCAGAAGACACUUCGAGGAAAAUGUAAUAAUAAACGUAGAAUUGAAGCAUCGAUGGCCGAGGCGUUCAUUACCGAGGAGGCGGCAAACUUCGUAACAACACACUAUGAUGCCACUAUGCACAGCUUGCAUAAUCCAAAGCCUCGGUACAAUCUGGGCGACCCCAAACGACGUGAAUCCAAUCUCAGCCUUUUCAAAGGGAAGCUCGCACCUUCUAGUGUGGGAAAACCAAAGUUGCUGUGCGUCGAGGAGUGGCGCACACUAACGAUGUAUAUAUUGAACAAUUUAACCGAAGUUUGGCCAUACAUCGAGUAAGUGCUCUGUACAUUGUUUCGCAACUUUUAACAAGUUUUGUGUCUAACAACUAUUAUUAAUUGAUACAGUCGAUACGUCGAACAAUUCUCGAAUGGUGUUGCAAUCGAAAAAGAAUCCAUUCUCAAGUAUGAACUUCUUGAAAAGACAGGAGGCGGCUAUCCCGGUUUCAUCUGUUGGUUCAAAAAAAGGUACCUCCCUUAUAUAUAAUAAGUGAUUUCCUUUGUUGCUAUUACUCAUGAGUAACACACCAAACUCUAUCUUUUCUUAACUUCUAGGCUAAUUCAAAUGAGCAAGUCGACGAUGAAUUGAGACAAAUAGCUAAUGGUUUUGACUUUAAGGUCCGUACAUUUCAGAAGUACGACAUGAACGGGUAUCGCUUUCGUACUGCUAGCAAAGAGCUUUCAAUGCCCGGUCGAAAAACAAAAAAUUCCGGUGUCUCUGCUAUAGGUGAGGGAGGUGUCGAGUAUUAUGGAAGACUUGAAGAAGUCUACGAACUUCAUUAUUAUGGUGAAAAUCCUCCGAACGUUGUUGUGUUCAAAUGUCAUUGGUUCGAUCCUACUAAGACAGGACGGACUCAUGAACAUCUUGGGAUUGUCGAAAUUCGACAAGACAGGCAGUUAAGCGGUGCCGAUGUCUAUAUUGUGGCUCAACAGGCCACCCAAGUUUUCUAUCUGCCAUACUGUCAUCAAAGUGUUAAGAACCUAGAAGGUUGGUAUGUCGUGUUCGAUGUGCCGCCACAUCUUAGACCACCUCCCCCAAAUGAAGACGAUUAUGAACCUCAAGUUAACCCAAUAACAUAUGAUGGAGAAUUCUUCCAAGUAUCACGUGGUGUCAGACGUCGUACCCGAAACUGCUCUACGUCCACCCUGAACACGGAGGAACAAGACUGACGUGAUGAUGAGGAAGAAGUGGAAGUAGAAGAAGUUACCAAUGCCGAUGAGCUAUCAAUGCUUGAUCGGUUACAAAAAGGCCUUCCACAUGAUGUCCCUGAACCCGAUGACGAUAUCAGUCAUGACGACACGUGUGAUACUGAUGAUGAUUUUGCUUCAAUUGACCAUGGAGAAGAGACAGAUGAUCCAGACUAUUAGUACUUUGUAUGCAUCCAAACAUUGUUGUUUAAUUAUUCAAUUAUUAGUUGAAUUAUUCAUGUAUUUAUUAUUGUUCAUUUAAUUAUUGUCCUUGAAUUUGUACUAAUUAUUUAACUAUUUAUCGUUACAGGUGGUGAGACAUGGCAGGCGGGGAUAAGUUGAGGAUAGCACCUGGGCAGCUACGGAGAACUUUGUUGCAGAGCUUUGCCGAGGAGCCCCGUGGGAGAGGCGUAGCAAAGAAGAGAGGCAGAGGACGUGGUCGUGGGAGAGGGAGGCUGCAUGAUAGGAGCCAGUCGCCACCACCCUCGGCUACUUCUGUCUCAGCCACUUCACCCUUGCAGACGAGGGUGUCACUGGUGCGGGAUCCUCCCGUCCAGGAGCAGACACCGAUGCAGGGUGCUGAGGCGGAGGGUGCUGAGGCGGAGGGGGCUGAGGCGGAGGGUGCUGAGGCGGAGGCUGAGGCGGAGGGGGCUGAGGCGGAGGGUGCUGAGGCGGAGGCUGAGGCGGAGGGGGCUGAAGCAGAGGCUGAGGGGGCUGCCAGCAAGUCGGUCUACCAACGUGGUAUGACACGAGUUCCAGACCGAUUGGAGUUGCAGCACAGGGCGUUCAUUAAGCCAGAUGGCGAGAAGUAAGUUUAUAUAUAUUGUGUACCUUAUAUCAUUAUAUUUCACCAAGUAGAUAAUGUCUUUGCCUUAUCAUUAUGUAGGGGGUGGGAUUACCCGCAGAAUACCCGGAAUCCAAACUGCCUCCUUGGUGCUUUACUUAGGGAGCACUUCCCCGGGAUAGUGCAGUUGCCCGGUGAGGGUAUGGUUCCCGAGCCAGGACUCAAGUGGGAGCACUACCAAGCCGCUCUGCUCCCGGAAAACACACAUGUCAAUGGUGUUGUUUGCGUGAGCGUGGCCGACAAGGUGUUGGCUGAUUUUUGGGUAACUAUUAUUUUACCCAAUAAAAAGCAUACAAUGUUAUAUAUUGUUAUUUCCUUCCAAAUCAUUUCACUAUUCAUUUGUGCAUCUAUUUGGCAUAAUUGCAGAGUUACUUUAGGGUCGAGGAGGGGACGGAGGAGGUGGCCAAGAAGAACCUCGUGAAAGAGUGCAAGAGUUUAUUGAAUAACACGAGGCACGAGCUGCGUGUUCAGGCUGUUCGAGAUUGGUAUGCCAAGCAAGGGGAGCCGAAGACAAAGACUGAAUGUCGAAAGAUUUUCCUUGAUAAGACCGAGUACAUGGAGGUAUGUACAUUCCAAAGAUCAAUUCUUAGGGCUAGUUAGGUCUAUUUAGUUAUAAUACUUAGUUUCAUUCUUCAUUAACUUACAUUCAUAGGUGCCCCCGAGAUGGUUGGCCGAUAAGAUGGAUUGUUGGGAGAUGAUAGUGGACAGGUGGUGCACAGAGGCUUGGUUGAGCACCCACACUAUGGCCAAGGACCAUCGUGCCCAAUUGGUUGGUGUGCCACACCACCAAGGCAAUGCCAACAUCAAGAAUACGCCAAAAAAUGGGUAUGUGUGCCUUGUUUUGUUUCAUCAAUAAUUCGUUCGUUCAUGAUUUUUGUUGUACUAAUUCUUUGUCUUUUCGUGUAGGACAAACACAAUAACCAGCCCGAGCCUGAGGGAUACACCGCGUUUAGCAUGGCCCAUAAGGGCUCGUACAAGACGGCGAAGGCAUAUUCUGAGGGGGACGGGCCGUCGGCGUACACAAGCCUGUCCGCCUACAACAAGAUGACGUCUUAUUCUGAGGUGGUCAAACAGCUGCACGGGCCUCACUUUGACCCGAGCCAGAAUCCUAUCGAUCCAGAGGCGUUAAUGAUCUCUGGUGGCGGUAAGAGUCAUGGCACGCUGGCCAUGUCUGAUGGCUUCGUCCCUAUCACUGAGACUCUAUCUUAGAUCAAGUCGAGGCAAACGAGCUCCGCUCCUGUAAUACGGCAACGCGCGAGGCCAGUUGAUCUUGCCAUCGAGGUUAGUUUUCUUCAUUAUUUCUUUCGUUCUUUUGUCCCUGGAUGGAUGAUGAAAAUUCCUUUUGAGGAGUGGUUGCAGGCCGCACUUAUGAAGGAGAGGGAGGCCACCAGGCACUUGUUGGAGGAGAGGGACCAGAAUACGGAGAGGUUGCUUGAGGAGGAGAGGGCACGCAAUAAUGCCCAUGCGAAGGCCAUGCACGACUUCGUUGCGGUAAGUCAAUUGUGUGAGAAGCAAGGCUAUGUGUGAGACGCAACAAGGCUAUUUCUUUGACUCCUCGAAACCUAAUUUGCAGGCUAUAUGUGAGAAGCAAGGUUUGCCGCCCCCUUCGCCGAUGCCUUCUCCGGUGGGAACGGUGAGUUCCCUUUCAAUGACCAACCUUUCACGGUCUUAUACCAUUGUCUGUCGCCGUGCUAACCACAUAUUUUAACUCUUGCCUUGUUGCAGCAUCAUUCCAGAGUUGAAUCCCACGAUCCCUUUACUUCUCCUGGUGAGAGCCCUAGAAACCCAGCGACCAACGGAGAUGGAGCUUCUCCUCCGUUUCUUGGCAUUCGGUAAGUUAUUCCUCUCCUUCUUAUUCUUCUUAUUGUUUAGAUCAACUUAGAUUAUGCCAUGCUUUAGUUAGCUUAGUAAAUUCUAGUUGAUAUUAGCCAUGGUUUAGUUAGCUUAGUAAAUUCUAGUUGAUAUUAGACCUCAAAAAUGACAUAAUUAGUUUAGAAAGUUUUAAAAGAAACCAGAAGAGAAGAACAAACAAGAGAUGAAGAAAUAAGAGAAGAAGAAAGAGGAGAAAAGAUAACUUCUCUUCUUUCUUUUUCUCUAUCUUCUUCUUCUUCUUCUUCCACUUCUUCCACUUCUUCUUCUUGUUCUUGUUCUUGUUCUUGUUCUUCUUCUUCUUCCACUUCUUCUUCUAAUUGCUUAGCUUAAUUUAGAUAACUUCUUUCUUAUUGUAUUCUUCUUCUAACUUCUUUCUCAUUAUGCAGAUUUUGAUAAAGCAGCAUGGCAUAUGGAUGGAUGCUCGAGGGACUUUGUAAUGCACUUGUGUAGUAUUAGAUGAACUUUGUAAUGCAAUUGUAUUUGUGGAUGCACUUGUGAUGCUUUGUGAUCUUGUUUGCACUUUAAUUACAUAUAUUCGUGAUGUUUGCACUUGUGUUGUGCUGUUUGCACUUUGUGAUGCACUUGUGGUGCUGUUUAGGGGCUGGGCAAAUAUAUAUAUGUUGCUGUUUGUAUCUAUGUUUUGCAAAUGCAGGGAAUUAACAGAAAACAAAUAUGAAAAAAGCAGAGAGGGUCUUUGCCUACAGCUUACUGACGGCAACGGAUUUGCCAUCGAUGGACUGACGGCAAAGAAGACACGUGGCGGCAUCCUGUGUAUCCUGACAACUCUCGGAAUACCAAAUUUUCCCAGAUUUUCGGCUUUGCCGUCAGCUGUGCUCCAGUUGUCGGCAAAGAGGCGACCAAGGGGACCCAGGGGUUUCGGCUUUGCCGUCAGCUUUGCUACGGCUGUGGGCAAAGAGGGGACCUAGGGGACCCAGGGGUUUCGGCUUUGCCGUCAGCUUUGCUAGGGCUGUGGGCAAAGCCUGCCGUUAACCUUCUAACGGAGCUCGGCCUACGCCGUUUCCGCCACUGCUCUUUGCCGUCAGCCCGUGCCACAAAGCUGAUGGCAAAGUCUUUGCCGUCGGUCGACCUUCAGCUGACAGCAAAGAAGGUGAUUGCCGAUAAAAUCUUGGCCGGUACCUUUGCCGACAGCACACUGACGGCAAAGCCUUUGCCAUCAGUUAAACUGUCCUUUGCCGUCAGCCCUGGCUGUCGGCAAACCAGUAGAUUCUAGUAGUGUAUUGAUCCUCAUGAUGUUCCUUUUAAAUUCUUUGGUUGCUCAAGAAAGAGAGCAAGUGGAUGUUAAUUUUAUUCCUAGGAACAACUUCAACAACAAUGCUUAUAGGAGUAAUUUUGGUAGCAAUCCUAGACCGUUCCCAUGCAACAACUAUGGGAACAAUAACAAUUAUCCUAGCACCAAAAACUCCAGUUCUGAAUUAGGCAACAUGCUUAAGGAUUUUAUCCCUCUCAGAAAGCCUUCAACAAGAGUGUAGAAGAGAAACUGUAGAAAUUAGAUAGUCUCUCUUUGAAGGUGGACAACAUAGCUCAUGAUGUAGAUAUGCUUAAAAUUAGAACUUCCCCACUUGAGGAAAGGAACACCACACCCAUGAAUGCUAUCCAAGUCCAAAUUAAUGAGAACAUAAGAAUGCUAGCCUAACUUAAAGAGAUAUGGGCUAUAGAAAAAAAGGAGGAAGAUAGAAUUAAGAGCCUUCCUACACACACUACCAUUGCUAAUAUACAAGUUAUUGAGGAUCUCAAAACUUUGAGCACCCAUCGCACUCCUAGUGCCAAAUAACCUAUUAAUUGUGAUGCUAAUACCUCAACCAUAGGACAAGAAGGUCCUAUGAAUUUAGAGACUACUAAAAUUAUGAGCUUAGAUGAUAUUACUACCACUUUAAUUAAUGGUAGUAACCUUGAUUUUGACAAUUGUAGUCUAUCCGAAGUCAUCACCUUUUUGCAAAGAAUGGCUAAAGACCCCCACACUAGUACAUUGAAUAUUGCCUUCACCGAGCAUAUUACCAAUGCUCUUAGCAAAGCUAGGGAGGAGAAGCUCAAGCUAGAGACUUAUAUUCCUAGAAAACUAGAAGAUAGUUGGGAUCCUAUGGUCAAAAUAAAAUUGAAUAAUAUCUCUUUCUUUGCUUUGUGUGAUGUUGGAGCUAGUGCCUCCAUCAUGCCCAAAAGAAUUCUUGAUAUGCUUGAUUGGAAACAUUAUGAUCCAUGUUCUUUUGGUGUUUGUCUUGUUGAUUCUUCCAUAAAGAAAUCUUUAGGGAGAAUUGAUGAUGUUCUUAUUAUUGUCAAUGAUAAUUAUGUGCCCGCUGAUUUUCUUAUUAUGGACAUCGAAUGUGAUCCUUCAUGUCCAAUUAUUUUGGGACGUCCUUUUCUCCACACCGUUGGUGCUAUCAUUGACAUGAAAGAGGGAAUUAUCAAAUUCCAAUUUCCUCUUAAAAAGGGAAUGGAACACUUCCCUAGAAAGAAGAUUAAGUUACCUUAUGAGUCUGUUACACGGGCAAGUUAUUCUUUUGGAGUUGAUAACACUUGAUCUUCUUGCAUUGUGCCUAGCUCAAAGGCAUAAAAGAAAGCGCUUGUUGGGAGGCACACCAAUUUGUUUUUACUUUCUAUUUUAGUGGUAUUGAUGUGUGUUACUACUGUAGCAACAUCAUUGUAUCUUUAUUUUUAAGCUUUGUGUCAAGUUAUAGCCUCUGAUUGCAAGAAAGUUCAAAAAUUGUAACAUGCUAUCCAGAAACAGAUUUUGUCUGCUUGAUGGAAAAAUUCGCCAAAAAUCACCAGAUCAUCUUUUUUAUCUGAAUGUUUUUGACAUCAUGAUCUAUACAAUUGUAUUUCUGGCAUCAGUUAUGAGUUUUUUGAUUUGAGUUGCAGAAGUGCCCCGAAUAAAUUAUUUACUACCUGUUGUUCUGUUUUUCAUAGAUUCUUCCAUGUUUUGCGUUUUCAUUGUUUUGCAAAUUCUAAGCUUGCUUUUUAUUUGCAAAAACCCUUUGGAAUUCAUAAGAAGCAGUAGCUUCUCAUGAAAAUCUUUAUUUCCAGUAGGUAAUGAAUUAUUUUAUUAAGGGAACUAACCAGUCUAAUCAGCUUAUGAUGAGUUUUGUAUGAAGGGAGUUUUCAAGUAUACGAUGGGAGAGAUGAUGAAAGAAGAUAAAGGAGUGUCAAACGCUCAAGCUUGGGGAUGCCCCCAUGCAUACCAAGAAACAUUCAAGGAGACUCAAGCGUCUAAGCUUGGGGAUGGCCCCGUGCAUCCCCUUCUCUUUCAACAAUCAUAAGUUCGUCCAUCUCCGUAAUAUAUUUUUAUCACUUCGUAUGAUAUGUGCUAUGCUUGCAGCGUCCCGCUAUUUUCUUUCCAGUUUUGUUUUAGUUUAGUUUGCUGGUCAUAACAAGUCGGAACCUAGCCUACCUUGUUUGGGAGAGACACACCCUCCAUUCCACUCUAGAACACAACAUAGCUUUUCAUGCUUAUCUUUUUUGUGUGUUCUUCAUCUUUUCGUAGCUCCUAUCAUGCUUAGCUCUUAGUUUUCAUGCUUAUCUUUUUAAGAUCUUUUAUUUGGUUGAUUUUGGAACUCUCUUUAUUUAUCAUGCUUAUCUUGUUUAGAGAGUUUCCUCGUUGCACUGGGUUGUGUGUCUUGCAUGAGUAGGUAAUUGAGGUUGCUAUUUAAGUAUAGUAGUAACUUGCAAUAGUUUUGAGGUAUUGAUUUGAGUAAUGUUUGGAGUAUUGGUGCCAAGAGCUUGAUCCUAUUAGUGAUAGGUGUCGUAUUUUGGGAAAUCUGUGUGUUUUUCAAAAACUAAAAUUAGUUGACAACUCUAGCUACUAAAUUGAUCGCUAACCUCUGGAGGGGUUGGAAUAUAUAGAGUACCCCCACGCUACCAUGAGUCGAGGAUGAGCAAGGAUAACCAAACCCCCAAACAUUCCUCCUCGGGGUACUUUUCUCUUUGUGAACUUCCUAACUAGAUAGAGAGUUACAGAUAAUAAGUGUAUGAGUUCUUCGGACUAAUGCGAGUAUUCGAUUGUUGGCACUUCCACCAUCCAUAUUUUGCUAGCCUCUUCGGUACCGUGCAUUUCCAUUUAUCACAUGGAGAGUUGGUGCAAACUCCGCCGGUGCAUCCAUACCCAUGACAUGAUACGCUUUGUCAUGCAUAAGCCUCAUUAUAUCUUUCCUCAAAACAGCCACCAUACCUACCUAUUAAGGCAUUUCCAUAGCCUUUCUGAGAUACAUUGCUAUGCAACAUCCACCAUCUCAUGACUUGAUAUUCAUGUCAUACAUGCUUUUGCUUGAUCAUAGAGCCGCAUGCUAGUUGGGCCAUGCCCUCAUACUGCUACAUGACGCGCUAGUAUCACUGCAUAUCCUGCUACACUGGCAGAGGCAUACAUUUGCAUACAUCAUGAUAGUUUUCACUUGUCUUUAUGUUGAGUACUUCUUAUAAAGUGUGAUGAUUUUUCUUUCUAUUCAUGUAAAACCUAGAGUGUUGCUCUUAAGUGAGGAAAAGAUCCCAAAGUGGACAACACAAAAGAUCCAAAAGAGGACAAAUGAUAGAUAAAAAUAAAGAGCCAAAAAGGCCACAAAAAUAAAAAAAGAAAAAGAAAUAAAUAAACAAAAAGAGAGAAAGGGGCAACACUAAUACUCCUUUUGAAAGAUCCAUACUCGUACUCCAUUACUAUAUUGGUAUUACAUAGAGAUUAUCAUUCAUGCAUAACUAUGUGGGGACCCUUACACUAUAGAACUUGGUUUGCAUAUUCCAAUGAUGAGCCUCCUCAAAUGAGCUCUAGGUCUUCAUGAGCAAACAAGUUGGAUGCACCCCCACUAGUUCCAUUGGAGAGCUUACCUUAGCUCAUAUGUGCAUCCGUUACAUGGCAAUCCCUACUCCUCACAUCAUAUCUAUCAUUUGGCUUUCUCUCGCCUAUGGCUGUCCUCAUUGAUGUGAGCCUUUCACACCCUUUUUGUCUUCCUUCCCCAUCUUUAUUCUAUUUGCCAUCCUAAGUGCCAACAUAUCUUGUUUACGCUCAACCAUUGCAUGAGUGCUCAAAAUCGAAAGGGAAAGGGUCAUUUUGACUUGUGCCUGACAAGUGGUCUGGGCAUGAGUCAAAAUAAGAUUUCGAAGGAGACUAAGUGUGAGGUUUAGUAGAUUGAGUUCUAUAUUUUUUAAAUAUCUCUGAACCCAUCUCCCACUUCUUGCACGCAAACACUAUUUGGAGACAUUCGAUUCACGGAGAGCGAGAGCUCUUGCACCUUUAUGUUCUUAAUUUGCUAAAUUCAAUACUAGAUAUAGGCUCUUGCUUGUUAUUGUCUUGACCUGAAUUGCAUAUCUCACUUGCUUUACUUUGAAGUUCUUAUAUGUGUGUUAGCAUGUCACCAUAGAAAUUAUUGUGUUAUCAUUUAUCUACUAGAGGACGAGCAGAAAUUAAGCUUGGGGAUAUUGAUACGUCCCAAACGUAUCUAUAAUUUGUGCUUGUUCCAUGAUCUUUUGGAUGACAUUGUUAUAUGUUUUGCUACACUUUUAUAUCAUUUUACACAUAUUUGGACGAACCUACUAACUCAGUGCACCCAGUGCCAGUUUCCGUCUUCUGAUGUCUAUUUUGCAGGGUCUUUUACCCAAUUUUCCGAAGCCCGAAAAAAUCCAGAAAAAUAUAUAAAAAAUCAGCGAAACAGAAGCUUCGGGAUCACCGAAGGAGGGCCAGGGGCCUCCUAGGCGGCCUGCUGGUGCAGCUAGGCCCUAGGGCGCGCCAGGAGGUCGCCUGGGUGGGUCCCACCUCCUCCGGUGCCCUCCUUUGGCCUAUAUUUAGUGUUCCGUGAGGAAACCCUCGCAGACUUUCUGGAAUCGCAUAUUUCUCCAUCGUUCCACCGCCACAACGCUUCCAAGAUCGGGAGCGUCAGGAGACCUCUUCCCGGCACCCUGUCGGAGGGAGGAUUGACCUCCGGGAGAUUGUCCACCGCCAUGGACGCUUUGCGGACCUGCCGUGAGUAGUCCUCCUUGGACCAUGAGUCCAUGACCAGUAGCUAUGUGAUGUCUUCUUUCCAAUUUUGUUCUUCAACGGUUAGUGCUUGUGAUCUGCCCUACAAGAUCAAGGCAUCUAUGUAACCCUCAUGCUUUUGCUAUGCUCGGUUUUUUUGGAUCUAAUGGAUUAUGAGAUUAUGUUCAGAUUGUUCUGAGUUAUAUAUUUGAUUAUCCUUUUAUAUUAUGUUCCUUAGUGAUUAUUGCAUGUUCUCCGUUGCUUUUUAUUGCUUUGGCCAAGUAGUAGAUCAUAACUCCAAGAGGGAGCAUUAUGCAUGAUUGUGGGUUCGGGCCCCUCGAUGUCUAGCUUGAGUGACAGAAACAUGAGACUAGGGGAUGUGCUUGUUGCCACCAGGGAGAGAACAACGGUGGUUGAGACCACGGUUGCACGGAUUGGUUACCUUACACAUAGUUUGUUAAUGCAAUUCUCCGUUGCUUUGAGUUUACACUUUUGGUGGGGCUCGCAACUUAAUACCCCGGAGAUGUUCACGAUAGAUAUCUCAAGGUGGAUGAUUAGUAAGUAGAUGCUGAUGAAUAAACGGUCUACUUGUCUUGGCGUACGACAUAUUGCUAUUGAACCUCUAACUAUCAAGGAGCAUAAUUAGCAUUGCGGUGCUUUCAUACUUCUAUCAAUUGCCAAACUGUGAUUUGUUUACCCUAGCGUAGUUGUUUAUCGUCUUUUCGGAAAGAGACAUCACUAGUGAACAUCAUGUGAAUCUGGUCCAUAUCACCACUAUUGUUUACACCUCCAUACCGCUUUCAUUUACUUUUCUGUUGCAAUCACUAUUACCUUCCCACUUGUGUUUCGAUCCUUUGCAAACUACAAGGCCGGAGAGAUUGACAACCUCUCUGUACUCGUUGGGAGAAAAGUUAUUUGUUGUGUGUGCAGGUCCACGUCUUCAGCUAGCGCGAGGGUGGAAUACACCUACAUGUUGAGCCUAGGAGUCCUACUGGUUCGAUAAACCUUACAGUCUCUGUGUGAGGGAAAUUUUCUGCUGACUACAUCUCCACCUUCUACUUGGGGUAUCUAACGAGGGGCGAGAAGUAUAUACAUCAACUCGUCAUCACGUACCUGUUGGAAAUAUGCCCUAGAGGCAAUAAUAAAUUAGUUAUUAUUAUAUUUCUUUAUUCAUGAUAAUAUUUAUUAUCCAUGCUAUAAUUGUAUUGAUUGGAAACACAGUGCAUGUCUGGAUACAUAGACAAAACACUUUCCCUAGUAAGCCUCUAGUUGACUAGCUCGUUGAUCAAAGAUGGUCAAGGUUUCCUGACCAUAGGCAAGUGUUGUCACUUGAUAACAGGAUCACAUCAUUAGGAGAAUCAUGUGAUGGACUAGACCCAAAUUAAUAGACGUAGCAUGUUGAUCGUGUCAUUUUGUUGCUACUGUUUUCUGCGUGGCAAGUAUUUGUUCCUAUGACCAUGAGAUCAUAUAAAUCACUAACACCGGAGGAAUGCUUUGUGUGUAUCAAACGUUGCAACGUAACUGGGUGACUAUAAAGAUGCUCUACAGGUAUCUCCGAAGAUGUUCGUUGAGUUAGUAUGGAUCGAGACUGGGAUUUGUCACUCCGUGUGACGGAGAGGUAUCUCGGGGCCCACUCGGUAAUACAACAUCACACACAAGCCUUGCAAGCAAUGUGACUUAGUGUAAGUUGCGGGAUCUUGUAUUACGGAACGAGUAAAGAGACUUGCCGGUAAACGAGAUUGAAAUAGAUAUGCGAAUACUGACGAUCGAAUCUCGGGCAAGUAACAUACCGAAGGACAAAGGGAAUGACAUACGGGAUUAUAUGAAUCCUUGGCACUGAGGUUCAAACGAUAAGAUCUUCGUAGAAUAUGUAGGAUCCAAUAUGGGCAUCCAGGUCCCACGAUAAGAUCUUCGUAGAAUAUGUAGGAUCCAAUAUGGGCAUCCUGGUCCCGCUAUUGGAUAUUGACCGAGGAGUCUCUCGGGUCAUGUCUACAUAGUUCUCAAACCCGCAGGGUCUGCACACUUAAGGUUCGACGUUGUUUUAUGCGUAUUUGAGUUAUAUGGUUGGUUACCGAAUGUUGUUCGGAGUCCCGGAUGAGAUCACAGACGUCACGAGGGUUUCCGGAAUGGUCUGGAAACGAAGAUUGAUAUAUAGGAUGACCUCAUUUGGUUACCGGAAGGUUUUCGUGCAUUACCGGAAAAGUUUCGGACUCAUCGGUAGUGUACUGGGAGUGCCGGGAGGGGUGCCGGGGACCAUCAGGAGGAGUGUCACGCCCCAAGGGGUCUCAUGCGCUAUGGGAAGAGAUAAACCAGCCCCUAGUGGGCUGGAAUAAGUUCCCACUAAGGCCCAUAAGGUUUGAGAAGGAAAAAACACAAGGUGGAAAGAGUUUCCAAGUGGGAAGGUGGAAUCCUACUCCAAGUAGGAUUGGAGUAGGACUCCUCCACCUCCAAUUUCGGCCAAACCUUUAGGUUUUGAGGCUGCCUCCUCCCCUCCCUCCCUCCUAUAUAUAGUGGGGUUUUAGGGCUGAUUUGAGACAACUUUUGCCACGGCAGCCCGACCACAUACCUCCACGGUUUUCCCUCUAGAUCGCGUUUCUGCAGAGCUCGGGCGGAGCCCUGCUGAGAUUAGAUCACCACCAACCUCCGGAGCACCGUCACGCUGCCGGAGAACUCAUCUAUCUCUCCGUCUCUCUUGCUGGAUCAAGAAGGCCGAGAUCAUCGUCGAGCUGUACGUGUGCUGAACGCGGAGGUGCCGUCCGUUCGGCACUAGAUCGGAGCGGAUCGUGGGACGGAUCGCGGGACGGUUCGUGGGACGGUUCACGGGGCGGAUCGAGGGACGUGAGGACGUUCCACUGCAUUAACCGCGUUUCUUAACGCUUCUGCUGUGCGAUCUACAAGGGUACGUAGAUCGGAAAUCCCCUCUCAUAGAUGGACAUCACCAUGAUAGGUCUUCGUGCGCGUAGGAACAUUUUUGUUUCCCAUGCGACGUUCCCCAACAGUGGCAUCAUGAGCUAGGUUCAUGUGUAGAUGUAAUCUCGAGUAGAACACAAAAGCUUUUGUGGGCGGUGAUGUGUGUUUUGCUGCCCUCCUUAGUCUUUUCUUGAUUCCGCGGUAUUGUUGGAUCGAAGCGUCUCGGACUGACAUUACUCGUACGCUUACGAGAGACUGGUUUCAUCGCUACGAGUAACUCCGUUGCUCAAAGAUGACCGGCGAGUGUCGGUUUCUCCAACUUUAGUUGAAUCGGAUUUAACUGAGGAGGUCCUUGGAUGAGGUUAAAUAGCAAUUUAUACAUCUCCGUUGUGGUGUUUGCGUAAGUAAGAUGCGAUCCUACUAGAUACCCAUGGUCACCACGUAAAACAUGCAACAACAAUUAGAGGACGUCUAACUUGUUUUUGCAGGGUAUGCUUGUGAUGUGAUAUGGCCAACGAUGUGAUGUGAUAUAUUGGAUGUAUGAGAUGAUCAUGUUUUAAUAGUUAAUGUCGACUUGCACGUCGAUGGUACGGCAACCGGCAGGAGCCAUAGGGUUGUCUUUAAACUAACAUUUGUGCUUGCAGAUGCGUUUACUAUAUUGCUAGGACGUAGCUUUAGUAGUAAUAGCAUGAGUAGCACGACAACCCCGAUGGCGACACGUUGAUGGAGAUUAUGAUGAUGGAGAUCAUGGUGUGACGCCGGUGACAAGAAGAUCGUGUCGGUGCUUUGGUGAUGGAGAUCAAGAAGCACAUGAUGAUGGCCAUAUCAUGUCACUUAUGAAUUGCAUGUGAUGUUAAUCCUUUAUGCACCUUAUCUUGCUUAGAACGACGGUAGCAUUAUGAGGUGAUCUCUCACUAAAAUUUCAAGACGAAAUUGUGUUCUCCCUGACUGUGCACCGUUGUGACAGUUCUUCGUUUCGAGACACCACGUGAUGAUCGGGUGUGAUAGACUCAACGUUCACAUACAACGGGUGCAAAACAGUUGCACACGCGGAACACUCGGGUUAAGCUUGACGAGCCUAGCAUGUGCAGACAUGGCCUCGGAACACAUGAGACCGAAAGGUCGAGCAUGAAUCGUAUAGUUUAUAUGAUUAGCAUAGAGAUGCUUACCACUAAAACUAUUCUCGACUCACGUGAUGAUCAGACUUGAGAUAGUGGAUUUGGAUCAUGUACCACUCAAAUGACUAGAGAGAUGUACUUUUUGAGUGGGAGUUCUUAAGUAAUAUGAUUAAUUGAACUAAUUGUCAUGAACAUAGUCUAAUGUUCUUUGCGAAUUACGAUGUAGCUUGCGCUAUAGCUCUACUAUUUUUAUAUGUUCCUAGAGAAAAUUUAGUUGAAAGUUGAUAGUAGCAAACUUUGCAGAGGAUUGUCCUCGUUGUUGCGCAGAAGGCUUAUGUCCUUAAUGCACCACUCGGUGUGCUGCACCUCGAGCGUCGUCUGUGGAUGCUGUGAACAUCCGACAUACACGUUUCUGAGGACUACACGAUAGUUCAGUACAAAAUACUUAAUGGCUUAGAAGCAAGGCGCCGAAGACGUUUUCAAACGUCACGGAACAUAAGAGAUGUUCUAAAGAUAUGAAAUUCUGAUUUCAUGCUUGUGCCCUUGUUAAGAGGUACGAGACCUCUGACAAGAUUCUUUGUCCACAAAAUAAGGGAGAAAAGCUCAAUCGUUGAGCGUGUGCUCAGAUUAUCUGAGUACGACAAUCGCUUGAAUCAAGUGGGAGUUAAUCUUCCAGAUGAGAUAGUGAUGGUUCUCCAAAGUCACUGCCACCAAGCUGUGAGAGCUCCGUGAUGAACUAUAACAUAUCAAGGAUAGAUACAAUGAUCCUUGAGCAAUUCGCGAUGUUUGACACUACGAAAGUAGAAAUCAAGAAGGAGCAUCAAUAGUUGAUGGUUAGUAAAACCACUAAGUUUCAAGAAAGGCAAGGGCUAGAAGGGAUACUUCAUGAAACGGCAAAACAAUUGCUGCACUAAUGAAUAGACCCAAGAUUAAACCCAAACCCGAGACUAAGUGCUUCUGUAAUGAGGGGAAUAGUCACCUAGGCGGAGCAACUCUAGAUACUUGGUAGAUAAGAAGGCUGGCAAAAGUCGAAAGAAGUAUAUUCGAUAUACAUGAUGUUGAUGUGUACUUUACUAGUACUCCUAGUAGCACUAGGGUAUUGGAUACCGGUUCGGUUGCUAAGUGAUUAGUAACACGAAAUGAAAGCUACGGCCUAAACGGAGACUAGCUAAAGGCGAGGUGACGAUACGUGUUGGAAGUGUUUCCAAGGUUGAUAUGAUCAAACGUCGCACGCUCCCUCUACCAUCGGGAUUGGUGUUAAACCUAAAUAAUUGUUAUUUGGUGCUUGCGUUAAGCAUGAACAUGAUUGGAUCGUGUUUAUUGCAAUACGAUAAUUCAUUUAAAGAGAAUAAUGGUUACUCUAUUUGCUUGAAUAAUCACCUUCAAUGGUUUGUUGUAUCUCGAUUGUAGUGUUACACAUGUUCAUGAUAUCGGUGCCAAAAGAUACGAGGUAAUGAUGAUAGUACCACUUACUUGUGGCACUGCCGCUUGAGUCAUGUUGGUAUAAAUUGCAUGAAGAGGCUCCAUGCUGAUGGAUCUUUAUACUCACUUGAUUUUGAAUCACUAGUGACAUGCAAAUCAUACCACAUGAGCAAAGCCUUGUUUUCAUUGAGAUGAAACAAGAUAGUAACUUGUUGGAAGUGAUACAUUAUGAUGUAUGCAGUCCAAUGGGUGCUGAGGCACGCAGUGGAUAUCAUUAUGUUCUUACUUCAGUGACGAUUUUAGUAGAUACAAGAGUAUUUACUUAAUGAAUCACAAGUCUGAAAUAUUGAAAAGUUCAAUUCUGUUUCAGAGUAAAGUUCGUCGUAACAAGAGGAUAAACGAUCUACGAUAUGAUCAUAGAAAUGAAUAUUUGAGUUACGAGUUUUGGUACGCAGUUAAGACAAUGUGGAAAUUGUUUCGCAGUUCAUGCCACCUAGAACAUCAUAGUGUGAUGAUGUGUCUGAACGUCAUAGCCAUGCACUAUUUGGUAUGGUGCAUGCUAUGAUGUCUCUUAUCGAAUUACCACUAUCGUUUAUGGGUUAUGCAUUAGAGACAACCACAUUAACUUUAAAUAGGGCACCGCGUAUUUCCGUUGAGAUGACACAGUAUAGACUGAGGUUUAGAGAAAUCUAAACUGUCGUUUCUUGAAAGUUUGGGGCUUCGACACUUAUGUGAAAAAGUUUCAGUCUGAUAAGCUCGAACCCAAAGCUGAUAAAUGCAUCUUCAUAGGAUAUCCAAAACAGUUGGGUACAUCUCGUAUCUCAGAUCCGAAAGCAAAGUGUUUGUUUCUAGAAACGGAUCCUUUCUCGAGGAAAGGUUUCUCUCGAAAGAAUUGAGGGGGAGGAUGGUAGAACUUGAUGAGGUUAUUUGAACCAUCACUUCAACCAGUGUGUAGCAGGGCGCAGGAAGUUGUUCCUGUGGCGCCUACACCAAUUGAAGUGAAAGCCGAUGAUGGUGAUCAUCGAGCAUCGGAUCAAAUUACUACAAACCUCAUAGGUUGACAAGGUCGCGUACUACUGCAGAGUGGUACGGUAACCCUGUCUUGGAGGUCAUGUUGUUGAGCAACAGUGAACCUACGAGUUAUGAAGAAAGCAAUGGUGGGCCCGGAUUUUGACAAAUGGCUGGAGGCCAUGAAAUCCGAGAGAGGAUCCAUGUAUGAAAACAAAGUGUAGACUUUGGAAGAACUACUUGAUGGUCAUAGGACUACUGAGUAACGAUGGAUCUUUAAAAGGAAGACAGACGAUGAUGGUGAUAAGUCACUAUUAAGAAAAGCUUGACUUGUCGCAAAGAUGUUUCCGACAAGAUCAAACAGUUGACUAUGAUGAGACUUUCUCACUCGUAGCGAUGCUAAAAGUAUGUUAGAAUUAUGUUAGUAGUUGCUGCAUUAUUUAUGAAAUAUUGCACAUAGGAUGUCAAAACAUUGUUUCCUCGAUGGUUUCCUUGAGCAAACAUUGUAUGUGAUACAACCAGGAGGUUUUGUCGAUCCUAAAGAUACUAGCAAGUACGCAAGCUCCAGCGAUCCUUCAAUGGACUGGUGCAAGCAUCUCGGAGUUGGAAUAUACACUUUGAUGAGAUGAUCAAAGAUUUUGGGUUUGUACAAGGUUUAUGAGAAACUUGUAUUUCCAAAGAAGUGAGUGGGAGCACUAUAGAAUUUCUGAUGAGUAUAUUUGGUUGACAUAUUGUGGAUCAGAAGUAAUGUUGAAUUUCUGUAAAGCAUACAAGGUUGUUUGAAAGGAGUUUUCAAAGGAGUACCUGGAUUGCGCUACUUGAACGUUGAGCAUCAAAGAUCUAUGGAGAUAGAUCGAAAGCGCUUAAUGGAAGUUUCAACAAGAUGCAUGCCUUGACAAGUUUUUGAAGGAGUUCAAAAUAGAUCAGCAAAGGAGUUCUUGGUUGUGUUGUAAGGUGUGGAUUUGAGUAAGACUCAAAACCCGACCACGGCAGAAUAAAGAGAAUAGACGAAGGUCGUCUUCUAUGCCUUGGCCGUAGAAUCUGAAGUAUGCCAUGCUGGGUAGCGCACCUGAUGUGUGCCUUGACUCAAAGUUUGUUGAGAGGUACUGAGUGUGAUCCAUGAUUGAAUCACUAGCAGCGGUCAAAAUUUAUCCUUAGUAACUGAUGGACUAAGGAAUUUUUCUCGAUUAUGGAGGUGGUUAAAGAGUUCGUCGUAAAGGGUUACGUCGAUGCAAGCUUUGACACUAAUCCGAAUAACUAUCAGUAGUGAAACGGAUUCGUAUAGUAGAGUAGAUAUUUUGAGUAUUUCCGAAUAGCACAUAGUAGCAGCAUCUAUAAGAUGACAUAAAGAUUUGUAAAGAACACACGGAUCUGAAAGUUUCAGAACCGUUGACUAAAACCUCUCUCACGAGCAAGACGUAAUCAGACCCCAUAACUAUAUGCGUGUUGGAUUCGUUGGUGAUGUGAACUAGAUAAUUGACUCUAGUGCAAGUGGGAGACUGUUGGAAAUAUGCCCUAGAGGCAAUAAUAAAUUAGUUAUUAUUAUAUUUCUUUGUUCAUGAUAAUCAUUUAUUAUCCAUGCUAUAAUUGUAUUGAUUGGAAACACAGUGCAUGUGUGGAUACAUAGACAAAACACUGCCCCUAGUAAGCCUCUAGUUGACUAGCUCAUUGAUCAAAGAUGGUCAAGGUUUCCUGACCAUAGGCAAGUGUUGUCACUUGAUAACGGGAUCACAUCAUUAGGAGAAUCAUGUGAUGGACUAGACCCAAAUUAAUAGAUGUAGCAUGUUGAUCGUGUCAUUUUGUUGCUACUGUUUUCUGCGUGUCAAGUAUUUGUUCCUAUGACCAUGAGAUCAUAUAACUCACUGACACCAGAGGAAUGCUUUGUGUGUAUCAAACGUUGCAACGUAACUGGGUGACUAUAAAGAUGCUCUACAGGUAUCUCCGAAGAUGUUCGUUGAGUUAGUAUGGAUCGAGACUGGGAUUUGUCACUCCGUGUGACGGAGAGGUAUCUCGGGGCCCACUCGGUAAUACAACAUCACACACAAGCCUUGCAAGCAAUGUGACUUAGUGUAAGUUGCGGGAUCUUGUAUUACGGAACGAGUAAAGAGACUUGCCGGUAAACGAGAUUGAAAUAGAUAUGCGAAUACUGACGAUCGAAUCUCGGGCAAGUAACAUACCGAAGGACAAAGGGAAUGACAUACGGGAUUAUAUGAAUCCUUGGCACUGAGGUUCAAACGAUAAGAUCUUCGUAGAAUAUGUAGGAUCCAAUAUGGGCAUCCAGGUCCCNNNNNNNNNNNNNNNNNNNNNNNNNNNNNNNNNNNNNNNNNNNNNNNNNNNNNNNNNNNNNNNNNNNNNNNNNNNNNNNNNNNNNNNNNNNNNNNNNNNNNNNNNNNNNNNNNNNNNNNNNNNNNNNNNNNNNNNNNNNNNNNNNNNNNNNNNNNNNNNNNNNNNNNNNNNNNNNNNNNNNNNNNNNNNNNNNNNNNNNNNNNNNNNNNNNNNNNNNNNNNNNNNNNNNNNNNNNNNNNNNNNNNNNNNNNNNNNNNNNNNNNNNNNNNNNNNNNNNNNNNNNNNNNNNNNNNNNNNNNNNNNNNNNNNNNNNNNNNNNNNNNNNNNNNNNNNNNNNNNNNNNNNNNNNNNNNNNNNNNNNNNNNNNNNNNNNNNNNNNNNNNNNNNNNNNNNNNUUGAGAUUAGAUCACCACCAACCUCCGGAGCACCGUCACGCUGCCGGAGAACUCAUCUAUCUCUCCGUCUCUCUUGCUGGAUCAAGAAGGCCGAGAUCAUCGUCGAGCUGUACGUGUGCUGAACGCGGAGGUGCCGUCCGUUCGGCACUAGAUCGGAGCGGAUCGUGGGACGGAUCGCGGGACGGUUUGUGGGACGGUUCGCGGGGCGGAUCGAGGGACGUGAGGAUGUUCCACUACAUCAACCGCGUUUCUUAACGCUUCUGUUGUGCGAUCUACAAGGGUACAUAGAUCAGAAAUCCCCUCUCGUAGAUGGACAUCACCAUGAUAGGUCUUCGUGCGCGUAGGAAUUUUUUUGUUUCCCAUGCGACGGUCCCCAACAGUACCAACUCUCUAUAUCGAUGAAAAACCCAUCUAGAGUCUUACCAGUACCCGGUUAGAGAGGGGAAAUCAUCUCCGGUAGCCAUCUUCAUCAUCCCGGUGGAGGCCAUGACGAGGAGGGAGUAGUUCACCCUAGGGGCUAAGGAUAUGUACUAGUAGCGACGUGUUCAAUAUCUCUCUCUCUCUCUCUCUCUCUCCCUCGUGUUCUUGAUAUGGCACAAUCUUGAUGUAUCACAGGCCUUGUUAAUCUAGUUGGAUCAUAUGAUGUUAUUCCCUUGCUACCUUGUUGUGAUUAAUUGAACCUUUCCCUUUCAGAUCUCGUUAUGUUGGAUUGAAUAUUUUGGUUUGAGAACACUUGAUGUAUGUAUUGCAUGCGGAUACCCGUAGUGACAUUGGGGUAUUCAAGUGAAUCACUUGAUAUAUGUUAUGGCAUCAACUUGUUGAUUCCAGUGACCUUGGGGAUCUAUGCAGAGGGUUUGAUUGCAUGUUUUCAUAGUAUGUUCUCCGAUAAAAAUCUUGGGGUGGUCCUUUAAGCUCUUUGCGUUGGAUUGAAUAUGAUAGAUCUGAAAUUGAUUGAUGCAUGUCGCAUAAUUAAAACACGGAUACUUGAGGUGACAUUGGAGUAUCUAGGUGACACUAGGGUUGAUUGAUAUGUAUCAUGGGUGUCAUUCAAGUACGAACAUUGGGGCUGUUUGUGACACUUAUAGGAAUAACUUAAAAGAUUGACCAGAAAGAAUAACUUUGAGGUGGUUGUACUACCUACACCAAUUUCAUCUUAUUGUUGUCCCUUGAUAGGAAUUUUGGAGUGAUUCUUUGUUUCACGUUGAGGGAUGACCAUAUGAUUCUUCUAGGUUAGCAUUGUUGAGAUAUUGCACUAGUGAUAGUAUGAACCAUAUGCCUUAUUAUCAAGCAUUUAUACAAUGUUUUGCUCGCCAAUUUACACUUGCUACCUUGCUGUUUUUAUAUUUUCAUAUUACGAAAACCUAUAUCUACUAUCCAUACUACACUUGUAUCACCAUCUCAUCGCAACUAGUGCACCUAUACAGUUUGCCAUUGUAUUGGGUGUGUUGGGGAAACAAGAAUUUUUGUAUUUGAUUGCAGGGUUGUUUGCGAGAGACAAUCCUCAUCCUAUGUCUUCCACGGAUUGAUAAACCUUAGGUCAUCCACAUGAGGGAAAAUUGCUACUGUCCUUAAAAACUCUGUGCUUGGAGGCCCAACAUAGUCAACAAGCAUAAAGUUGUGUAGUAGACAUCAAUGGUCAAAAAUAUUCUACAAUUAUUUUUGUUGGCAUUGUUAACAAGUAAUUUCAUCGGAUAAAAUUCUUGUCCAUGUAUGCAAAAUAACUAACCUUUACUUGGUCGUGAAGGUUCUUGUUCCCUUGUUCAUUCCUUCUCUCGACUUCAUUUGCUUCCUUUCUUGCGCCAGCUCUACGGCCCGUGCAACUCUUUUUGCCUCCAAUUCAGCCUAUAGUAAGUUAACACAGUCUCAAAUGUAAGUUUGUACUGCAAGAAUGUAAAGACAUGUGUAUGAAAGGUACAACCAUAGAGCACAACAAUCACAAAUACACUAUCCAUGGGGCAACUCUCUACAGAAGGAGCUCGGUCUCUGCGCGUGGAGCUAAGAAUGCUAACGAUGCGAGGAUGUGGAGAUUAAGC
rnacentral:lncRNA from 1 species